AAGUGCAUUCACCGAACCCAUC
rnacentral:siRNA from 1 species